UACAUAUCGAUGAAUUCUGAUGCCCGAUUACCCAUCGGAUUUGGACUCAAUAUUUAUGAGAGGUUUAAUUAGUGAUUUGAUUGCUAAUUAACUCAAUUUGAUUGAGUAAUUAAUUUUGGAUCAAGUCUAAUUGAAUUGGAUUCAGUUGGAUUUGACCCGAUUAGGUUAAGAGUUGACCUAAUCGUCGAGAUGGUUUGGUCUCUGAUUUGAUCAGGGGUUGGGCUUAAUCAAUUUUUGAUUUGAUUAAGAUUUUAUUGAGCCUAAUUAAGCCUAAUUUAGUUGGGUUUAAAUUAGUCUAAUUGGGCCUAACUUAUUUGGUUCAAUUAGGUUGGUUUAAAUAAUGAAACCACCUUGACCCAUUCUCCCUGCGCCACCUCACUUCCACUGCGCCCAUUUGAAUCACAUGAAGGAAGGUCUCAUAAAUUUUUCCUCAUGCAAAGCCCUCCUCACGCCCUACUUUAAUGCACCAAAUGAGUGGAUAAGGAUGAUUAGUUGGCCAUUCAAAUUCAAAACAAAAGUUUGAAUUUGAAUGAGCAACCAAUCUUAGUGCCUUGACCUUAUCCUCUUUUAACGCCCCAUUUAUUACACGAGAAAAUAUUUCUCAUGAAAUCACUCACACACAAAUUAAGCCAUGCCCUCCUCUUC
rnacentral:lncRNA from 1 species